UACGAAGGGGACUAGCGUUGUUCGGAAUCACUGGGCGUAAAGCGCACGUAGGCGGAUUUGUAAGUCAGGGGUGGAAUCCCGGGGCUCAACCUCGGAACUGCCUUUGAUACUGCGAAUCUUGAGUCCGAUAGAGGAGAGUGGAAUUCCUGGUGUAGCGGUGAAAUGCGCAGAUAUCAGGAAGAACACCCGUGGCUAAGGCGGCUCUCUAGUACGGUACUGACGCUGAGACGCGAAAGCGUGGGGAGCGAACAGG
rnacentral:rRNA from 1 species